GCGACGGAAGCGGGAAAAGCCCACACUGGAAAUCUCCGGGCGUACGCUCGGCGAAUUGUAAU
rnacentral:rRNA from 1 species